ACUCCUGUAGUCUAGUGGUUAGAACGUCAGCCUUGGAUGCGGAAGGUCGCGGGUUCUAACCCCAGCCGAGUC